AUUGAACGCUGGCGGCAGGCCUAACACAUGCAAGUCGAGCGGGGUUUUCGGACCUAGCGGCGGACGGGUGAGUAAUGCGUAGGAAGCUACCCGACAGAGGGGGAUACCAGUUGGAAACGACUGUUAAUACCGCAUAAUGUCUACGGACCAAAGUGUGGGACCUUCGGGCCACAUGCUGUCGGAUGCGCCUACGUGGGAUUAGCUAGUUGGUGAGGUAAUGGCUCACCAAGGCGACGAUCCCUAGCUGGUUUGAGAGGGUGAUCAGCCACACUGGAACGGAGACACGGUCCAGACUCCUACGGGAGGCAGCAGUGGGGAAUAUUGGACGAUGGGCGCAAGCCUGGUCCAGCCAUGCCGCGUGUGUGAAGAAGGCCUUCGGGUUGUAAAGCACUUUCAGUAGGGAGGAAGAGUUGAGUGUUAAUAGUACUCAGCUUUGAUGUUACCUACAGAAGAAGCACCGGCUAACUCUGUGCCAGCAGCCGCGGUAAUAC
rnacentral:rRNA from 1 species